CAGCACCGCCGGGAGCAGCAACAGCAGCAGCGCGCCCAGCAGCCGGGCCGGCCGGCGGUGGCGGUGGGGCCGAGGCGGGCGGCAGGGUCAUCCCUGUAAAAACAAGCAACUGUUACUCCCACUUCACAGCCGAGGAGCCAAAAGAUGGAAAAAGUCAUUUCAAUAUCAUCAAUCUCACAGGUUAUGGAGUUGAAUCAGCUCAGGGAAGGACUAAAAGAUUACCAGUGUUGGAACAAGGCAAGAACACUAUCAAAGGGAGCGCAACCUCCUGUCUUAAAAGUAAAGGACCAUCGUGCUGCCCCUACUUCUCACUGCCAUGGAGUCUUCUACCUACCACAUUUCAUCUCUUUCCUUAAUGGAUUGGGACAUAUGUUUUGUUUGCUACAGCAAUCACCAAGGAAGAGGAAGCAUUUGGUUGCUCUUAGCUAUGUCUGCAAUACUGUGGUUAUUUGCUAUUCCAAGUAGACAGAGGUGAUGAUAACUGCUGGCACACACACUGGCUUGCUAUUAACCACUAAAUCCAAGCAGGCACAGAGUCACCUUUAUACAAGCACAUCUUGCGCAACUGUAGGUUGUAGUAUUACAUCUCUGCCUCUGUCAGUUCACUUACUUUGUCCGAGCUCUGCUGUUGGCUUGUGACAAACACAGGCAUUCCCAGAUGCGUAGCUGACGUUCAUCAUGUUGGACACAACAAACUUGGGUACUGCUGUGUUCAAGGGUCAGGAUCUUCAGUGUCAGUAGUAUAUAUAACUGGGUGAAAUUAUAGUUUUUAGACUCAGUUGGGAAAACUGAGGAGAAACACUACUUCCCUUUACCUGGUUGUUCCUUUAAGUAGACGUGAGUAUUUCAAGAAUGCUUUGGCAGAACCCCAAACAUUAGUUGGCUUAGUUUGUGAACUUCUUAUGGAAAACUUUUUGGAAAUGCUUAAAAGGAGACUGCUCUCUAAGUUGUUUAUUUAGAAGUCUCUGGUUUUGGUUUUCAGUAAAUCCCAAAUUAAGCCAGAAUUAGACAGUGAUAUUUUGUAUGUUAAAACCUGAAAUAUCACCAGAUGCACUUCUGCAGAAAGAACAGUCAGCCCUGAAGAUCUUCAUGCUUGAUUUUUCUUUGCCUUGAGCAAAGGGAAAAAAAAGUACCGUGUGGAUUCAGCAGACUCAUGCAGGGAUCUCAUUCCUCCUCUGCUGUCUAUAAUUGUAGGUGGAAGACUGGCUAUGAAAUACAGUCUCAGUGCUAAAUUUUUGAAAGCAAUGUACACUGCAAAGAAAUGUGUAAAAUAUAUUGUGCCAGGUUUCUUUCUGACAUGCUAUCCAAUUACCACUUUUUUAGUAUUUGGCCUCCAAAUAAAUGUUUCAUGUGACUUUGAAACCUCUUGGCUUUUUAUAUAUCCAAUGUGAAUUUUCAAUGAAAUAAAAAUAAAAAAGUUAUAGAAAUAUAUAUCUGCAUGUGCGAGGAAGAAGUAAAUGCAGUUCUUGUAAG